UUGAGGUGCUUGCACCUGAUUGAUUUUGGUCGCCAACGAGUGGCGGACGGGUGAGUAACACGUAGGUAACCUGCCCAGAAGCGGGGGACAACAUUUGGAAACAGAUGCUAAUACCGCAUAACAACGUUGUUCGCAUGAACAACGCUUAAAAGAUGGCUUCUCGCUAUCACUUCUGGAUGGACCUGCGGUGCAUUAGCUUGUUGGUGGGGUAAUGGCCUACCAAGGCGAUGAUGCAUAGCCGAGUUGAGAGACUGAUCGGCCACAAUGGGACUGAGACACGGCCCAUACUCCUACGGGAGGCAGCAGUAGGGAAUCUUCCACAAUGGGCGCAAGCCUGAUGGAGCAACACCGCGUGAGUGAAGAAGGGUUUCGGCUCGUAAAGCUCUGUUGUUAAAGAAGAACACGUAUGAGAGUAACUGUUCAUACGUUGACGGUAUUUAACCAGAAAGUCACGGCUAACUACGUGCCAGCAGCCGCGGUAAUACGUAGGUGGCAAGCGUUAUCCGGAUUUAUUGGGCGUAAAGAGAGUGCAGGCGGUUUUCUAAGUCUGAUGUGAAAGCCUUCGGCUUAACCGGAGAAGUGCAUCGGAAACUGGAUAACUUGAGUGCAGAAGAGGGUAGUGGAACUCCAUGUGUAGCGGUGGAAUGCGUAGAUAUAUGGAAGAACACCAGUGGCGAAGGCGGCUACCUGGUCUGCAACUGACGCUGAGACUCGAAAGCAUGGGUAGCGAACAGGAUUAGAUACCCUGGUAGUCCAUGCCGUAAACGAUGAGUGCUAGGUGUUGGAGGGUUUCCGCCCUUCAGUGCCGGAGCUAACGCAUUAAGCACUCCGCCUGGGGAGUACGACCGCAAGGUUGAAACUCAAAGGAAUUGACGGGGGCCCGCACAAGCGGUGGAGCAUGUGGUUUAAUUCGAAGCUACGCGAAGAACCUUACCAGGUCUUGACAUCUUGCGCCAACCCUAGAGAUAGGGCGUUUCCUUCGGGAACGCAAUGACAGGUGGUGCAUGGUCGUCGUCAGCUCGUGUCGUGAGAUGUUGGGUUAAGUCCCGCAACGAGCGCAACCCUUGUUACUAGUUGCCAGCAUUAAGUUGGGCACUCUAGUGAGACUGCCGGUGACAAACCGGGAGGAAGGUGGGG
rnacentral:rRNA from 2 species